UCCGGCUUGUCACCGGCAGUUCCCCUAGAGUGCCCAACUGAAUGCUGGCAACUAAGAGCGAGGGUUGCGCUCGUUGCGGGACUUAACCCAACAUCUCACGACACGAGCUGACGACAGCCAUGCAGCACCUGUGCACGAGCUCCGAAGAGGGGCCCCUGUUUCCAGAGGCUUUCCCGUACAUGUCAAGCCUAGGUAAGGUUCUUCGCGUUGCGUCGAAUUAAACCACCUGCUCCACCGCUUGUGCGGGCCCCCGUCAAUUCCUUUGAGUUUCAGCCUUGCGGCCGUACUCCCCAGGCGGGGCACUUAAUGCGUUAGCGCCGGCCCUCGGGGGGUCGCUCCCCCAAGCGCCUAGUGCCCAUCGUUUACGGCGUGGACUAC
rnacentral:misc_RNA from 1 species